rnacentral:rRNA from 1 species
UACAGAGGUGGCAAGCGUUGUUCGGAAUUACUGGGCGUAAAGCGCGUGUAGGCGGCUCUUCAAGUCAGGCGUGAAAGCCCCGGGCUCAACUCGGGAACUGCGCUUGAUACUGUCGAGCUAGAGUGUGGAAGGGGCGAUUGGAAUUCCGUGUGUAGCGGUGAAAUGCGUAGAUAUACGGAGGAACACCAGUGGCGAAGGCGACUUACUGGACACAUAUUGACGCUGAGGUGCGAAAGCGUGGGGAGCAAACAGG